rnacentral:rRNA from 1 species
UGGGGAAUAUUGCACAAUGGGCGCAAGCCUGAUGCAGCGACGCCGCGUGGGGGAUGAAGGCUUUCGGGUUGUAAACCUCUUUCGCUAUCGAACAAGGCCCGCUUAGGGUGGGUUGAGGGUAGGUGGAGAAGAAGCACCGGCUAACUCCGUGCCAGCAGCCGCGGUAAUACGGAGGGUGCAAGCGUUAAUCGGAAUUACUGGGCGUAAAGCGCACGCAGGCGGUUUGUUAAGUCAGAUGUGAAAUCCCCGGGCUCAACCUGGGAACUGCAUCUGAUACUGGCAAGCUUGAGUCUCGUAGAGGGGGGUAGAAUUCCAGGUGUAGCGGUGAAAUGCGUAGAGAUCUGGAGGAAUACCGGUGGCGAAGGCGGCCCCCUGGACGAAGACUGACGCUCAGGUGCGAAAGCGUGGGGAGCAAACAGG